rnacentral:lncRNA from 1 species
UUUUUUUUUCCAGUCAAUUUUUUCUUUGAUCUAUAGAACUUGCUUCUUUUCUCUGAAGUUUUCACAAUACAGCAUGAUAGAAGGAGCACAGGUGCCAGAGGCAGGGAAUUCCUAUGCUUCACUAGUGACUCAUAAGAAAACUUAAUAGAAGGUCUCUACUGCCUGCUGGCCCUGCAGUACCUGACUGAUGUGGUCCCAAACUAAAGUAGGCUAACCUUCAUUGAACCAAGCACUUCAGAGCCAUGGGAAGAAGUAUGGGGGAAAGAGUUCUUGUACUCUGGCAAUGAGGAAACAAACAUUAACAGUGCAAGACACAGUGAGAGUCACAGAUCCAUGGAUGGACGAUCCUUUUGAGGACAAUAGAGGGGGAAUUUGGAUAAGUUUCCUGAGUGAGAAACUUUCCAGAUGGCAAUCUGAAAGUUAGUUGUUCCUUCUCAAAACACAGAGCUUUCUUUUCUUCAUGGUGGCAAUUUCCAGACUCCAGUGCAAGGAAGGGAAACUGAAGGAGAAUAAGGCGGUUACAUUCAGUUAGAGCCUGAGAGCAGAAUUUGGUUAGGCUGAAGCAGUUGGAAACUGUGGAAUGUAAUACCAGAGAGAAGACUGCCACACAAAGAACUCCAAAAAUUUGAUUUUCAGCAAAACUUCAGAAGGCAAAAGGGAAAGUUUUCCCAUGGGCCAACGUGGAUAUGUUUCUGUAAUAAUAGUCUGCUCAGCCUUCUACAACAAGAUGUCGCAGACUGGGUGACUUAAACCAGGGAUCCUCCAAUCCUGGCCAUGGAUCGGUACGGGUCAGUGGCCUGUUAGGAAUCAGGCCACGUAGCAGGAGGU